rnacentral:misc_RNA from 1 species
GCAAAGGCCACCUGAGGUGAAGUACCUUAACAUUGUUCUUGGUGUCAUUUACUUUUAUGCAGUUGACAUAUUGUAGUUUGAUAUACUUUGUUCUUCUGCUAAUCACACCACUGGGAUACCCUACUAUAGCCUAUAAUGCUGUUAAUUGUCUAUAUGACACUUGUUAUGUUCUUGAAAUUAUCGUGUUGGAAAUACAUGUAAUUUGUUAUAGUUUCUAGAUGCCUCCAUGCCACUUGGCAAGGACUGUCAAUCUAACAUUUAGUUGCUUCCCAAAGAUUUUCUGGUUGGGAGCCAACCAUUUCAAAACAUUAUAACUGGCUCUUCACGGUGCUCUUCAGCUUAUCUUUUGAGCUGAAAUUUGCAUCAGUAUGUAAAAUAGGUGACCCAUCAAGGCAUUCUUCCACUAACCAUAGAGAUGCUUAUGAUGCAUGUUCUCCUGAAACAGAAACAUAAAUGUUAUUAAUAAGUUUGCUUUUUAAUACUUG